rnacentral:tRNA from 1 species
CGGGACGUGGCGCAGCUUGGUAGCGCAUGGCGUUCGGGACGCCAGGGUCGGAGGUUCGAAUCCUCUCGUCCCGACCA